rnacentral:rRNA from 1 species
CAGCACCUCAAGUGGUCAGGAUGAUUAUUGGGCCUAAAGCAUCCGUAGCCGGCUCUGUAAGUUUUCGGUUAAAUCUGUAUGCUCAACAUACAGGCUGCCGGGAAUACUGCAGAACUAGGGAGUGGGAGAGGUAGACGGUACUCGGUAGGAAGGGGUAAAAUCCUUUGAUCUAUUGAUGACCACCUGUGGCGAAGGCGGUCUACCAGAACACGUCCGACGGUGAGGGAUGAAAGCUGGGGGAGCAAACCGGAUUAGAUACCCGAGUAGUCC